AAGGGUUCCUAUUCCCCUCACAUUGCUACAAUUCUCAGAGUAGUUUAACAAUCAAUUCCUCUCCAUAGGGAACUCUGGGAAUUGUAGCUUUCAGAGGGGAAUAGGGGCCUU